AACAGGAUUAGAUACCCUGGUAGUCCACGCCGUAAACGUUGGGAACUAGAUGUAGGGACCAUUCCACGGUUUCUGUGUCGCAGCUAACGCAUUAAGUUUCCCGCCUGGGGAGUACGGUCGCAAGACUAAAACUCAAAGGAAUUGACGGGGGCCCGCACAAGCGGCGGAGCAUGCGGAUUAAUUCGAUGCAACGCGAAGAACCUUACCAAGGCUUGACAUAUAGAGGAAACGUGCAGAAAUGUACGCCCCGCAAGGUCUCUAUACAGGUGGUGCAUGGUUGUCGUCAGCUCGUGUCGUGAGAUGUUGGGUUAAGUCCCGCAACGAGCGCAACCCUCGUCCUAUGUUGCCAGCACGUAAUGGUGGGAACUCAUGGGAGACUGCCGGGGUCAACUCGGAGGAAGGUGGGGAUGACGUCAAAUCAUCAUGCCCCUUAUGUCUUGGGCUUCACGCAUGCUACAAUGGCCGGUACAAAGGGCUGCGAUACCGUAAGGUGGAGCGAAUCCCAAAAAGCCGGUCUCAGUUCGGAUUGAGGUCUGCAACUCGACCUCAUGAAGUUGGAGUCGCUAGUAAUCGUGGAUCAGCAACGCCACGGUGAAUACGUUCCCGGGCCUUGUACACACCGCCCGUCAAGUCAUGAAAGUCGGUAACACCCGAAGCCAGUGGCCCAACCGCAAGGAGGGAGCUGUCGAAGGUGGGAUCGGUGAUUAGGACUAAGUCGUAACAAGGUAACC
rnacentral:rRNA from 1 species